rnacentral:rRNA from 1 species
GACGAACGCUGGCGGCGUGCCUAAUACAUGCAAGUAGAACGCUGAAGCUUGGUGCUUGCACCGAGCGGAUGAGUUGCGAACGGGUGAGUAACGCGUAGGUAACCUGCCUGGUUGCGGGGGAUAACUAUUGGAAACGAUAGCUAAUACCGCAUAAUAGUAGAUGUUGCAUGACAUUUGCUUAAAAGGUGCAAUUGCAUCACUACCAGAUGGACCUGCGUUGUAUUAGCUAGUUGGUGAGGUAACGGCUCACCAAGGCAACGAUACAUAGCCGACCUGAGAGGGUGAUCGGCCACACUGGGACUGAGACACGGCCCAGACUCCUACGGGAGGCAGCAGUAGGGAAUCUUCGGCAAUGGACGGAAGUCUGACCGAGCAACGCCGCGUGAGUGAAGAAGGUUUUCGGAUCGUAAAGCUCUGUUGUAAGAGAAGAACGAGUGUGAGAGUGGAAAGUUCACACUGUGACGGUAUCUUACCAGAAAGGGACGGCUAACUACGUG